rnacentral:lncRNA from 1 species
AGAGGCGCGGGUGUUCGGCUGCGUCACUGGGGCGCUAUGGUGCCUGGAGCUGGGCAGUUUUCUCGUCAGAGUGGGGACUGGUAAGAGCGACCUCCCCGCCAGGUCCUGUGUGUUGCCGGCUGAAGAAGGGUAGCUGAAAAAUUCAGACCCAGCACAGUGUUUAUGUUGGUCAAAAAUAGAAAACUAUGUCUGGCGCGGCCGAGGCGGGAGGACCCUUCAGGCCAAGAGCAGCGUAGCAACAUGGCGCAACCCCAUCUCUGUAGUCCUACCUCAGCCCCCCAGCUACUUGAACCCAAAGGUUCAAGGCUCCAGUGAGCUAUGAUCCCACCACAGCAUUCCAGCCUGCGAGAUUGAGAUGAUGAUUAUUCCCCACCUUCUAAGAGACAAAGACCAACGAGCCACCACAGCCACCAGUCCCAGAACCCGCCAAUGCUGGGGAACGGAAAAUGAGGGAGUUCAACUCUGAGAAAUGGAAUCAUCGUAUCGCUGAUCUACGUAAACAAACUGAAGAAUUGUCUGAAAGAAAAUAUGACAUGAACUUAUGAAUUCAACAGGUGAAGAUUUACAACUUGAUAAAUCAACUUUGUGAGCUCGAGCUGUAAAAGCCAAAGGUCUGGUGAUGAUCCCAUACCCUUUUUUCCAGUCUCAUGUUGAAGAUUUUUAUGUAGAAGGCCUUCCCAAAGGAAUUUUUUUUUUUUUUUUUUUUUGAGAUGGAGUUUUCACUCUUAUCGCCCAGGCUGGGGUGCAAUGGCGCAACCUUGCUGGUCACUGCAACCUCUGCCUCCUGGGUUCAAGAAAUUCUCCUGCCUUAGCCUCCCAAGUCGCUGGGAUUAUAGGUGCCCACCACCACACCAGGCUAAUUUUUGUAUUUUUAGUGGAGAUGGGGUUUCACCAUGUUGGCCGGGCCAGUCUCGAACUCCUGAUGUCAAGUGAUCUUCCCGCCUCGACUCCUGACAUCAAGUGAUCUUCCCGCCUCGGCCUCCCAGAGUGCUGAGAUUACAGACGUGAACCCAUGCCUGGCCAGGAAUUUUGUUUUUUAGGAAGGCUUUCUACUAAUGGAAUUCCUGGCCUUGAGAGGAUGUUACUUUCGAAGGAAAGGAUUUUUUUGUUAUUAAAAGAGCCACCUAAGCUGAAGAUUCCCUUGAGAACAAGUACUGUCCUGCGGUUUCAUGGCCUUUCUUCCAUUUGUGGUUCUUGUGAAGUGGAAUUUAAAUGACAUCUUAUCAAGAUGGAUAAACCCUAGUUUCCCAGUGCUGGAAUAUAGAAAAUGGAUGGACAAGUAAAUCCCACUCAGCACCCAUAGUCCAGGCAUGGGGACCUCAACACACCUGAGCACCAGACAUCACCUUUCAUUCUGGACCUACCAUGAAAGACUUCUGAAUCCAGGAAGAGAAACUGACUGGGCAACAUGUUAUUCAGAUGGGGUCUUCUUAUGUUGCCCAGGUUGGUCUCAAAUUGCUAGGCUCAAGUGAUUCCACCCACCUCUGCCUCCCACAGUGCUGGGAUUACGGGCAUGAGCCAGCGCAUCUGGCCACCUUAUUUUCAAUUACUGGCUCAAUGUAAUGGCUCCAUCUCAGGAACAGCCAAUGAAAGAGAUGCACAGGACAAGAGAUGGGACCUCAGUAUGUUGCCACGGCUGACCUUGAACUCCUGCACUCAAGGGAUUUUCCUACCCUGGCCUCCCAAAGUAUUGGUAUUACAGGCAUGAGCCAUUGUGCCCACCGUCUCUGGUUCUUAACCUUCUGCCUCCCUCUUCCAGUUUUAAAGAAUGCUUGUAAUUACAUGGGCUCUCCUAGAUACUCCAGGAUAAUCUUGUUUUAAGGUCAGCUGAUGAGCAACAUUAAUUUUAUCUGCACUAUUAAUUCCCCCUUCCUAUGUAAUUGUGCUGUGUAACAUAGGACAUGAGCAAUUGGUGGCGGUGGGGGUUAUUACUUUGGCCACCACAGUAACUAUUUUAUGCCAGGUACUCAGCUAAGCACUGGUGAAUUAAGCAUGAAUAACACACACUCCCUAAUCUCCAUCCAUUCAUGGGAGGAGCACUUCACCUGCCAUGCUCCUGAGAAUCUCGGGAGUCAGAGAAGUCUUCUAUGAGGAGGUGAUGCCAAAGCGGACAAGUGACAGAGGAGUCAAAGCUAGCUAGGAAGGGAGUAGAGGUUUAAGGGGAAGCAUAUUAUAAGCAGAGGAUAUUACCCACUUCAGAGACUCCCAGAGGAGAAAGAGUGUGCGUUCAAGAGGCAGAUGAGGCUCAGUUGGACUCCAUAGCAGAUGAAAUGGAGAGGGGCAAGCAGUGAGGCUGCCUUGCAAGGCAGGGCAGAGCAGGGGCUGUUAAGGAGUUUGGACUUAAUCCCUGAGGCAAGGAGAAGUGAUGUAAAUGGAGGAGUAACAUGAUGAGAUUCAUGGAUUAGAGACAUGGCUCAGGCUGCUGUAGAGAAGGCACCAGGGAGAGCAGAUGGCUCAAUGGGUGUGCAGGAGACCUCUCCCUGAGUUUAGGGAGAGGUUUUUAAAACAGAAGAAGUUUGAGUAAUUUAAAUGAUG